UGUUCUUUUCGUCUAAUGGUUAGGACAACACUUUUUCAAGGUGUAUAUGUGAGUUCGAAUCUCACAAAGAAUAA
rnacentral:tRNA from 1 species